rnacentral:rRNA from 1 species
UACGUAGGGUGCGAGCGUUGUCCGGAAUUAUUGGGCGUAAAGCGCUUGUAGGCGGUCUGUCGCGUCUGCUGUGAAAAUCCGGGGCUCAACCCCGGACUUGCAGUGGAUACGGACAGACUAGAGGUAGGUAGGGGAGAAUGGAAUUCCCGGUGUAGCGGUGAAAUGCGCAGAUAUCGGGAGGAACACCGGUGGCGAAGGCGGUUCUCUGGGCCUUACCUGACGCUGAGGAGCGAAAGCGUGGGGAGCGAACAGG